UCAAGUGAUGAUUAUUGGAGGUAGAGCACUGUUUGGACGAGGGGCCCCUCUCGGGUUACCGAAUUCAGACAAACUCCGAAUGCCAAUUAAUUUAACUUGGGAGUCAGAACAUGGGUGAUAAGGUCCGUGUUCGAAAGGGAAACAGCCCAGACCACCAGCUAAGGUCCCAAAAUAUAUGUUAAGUGGAAAAGGAUGUGGCGUUGCCCAGACAACUAGGAUGUUGGCUUAGAAGCAGCCAUCAUUUAAAGAGUGCGUAAUAGCUCACUAGUCGAGUGACACUGCGCCGAAAAUGUACCGGGGCUAAACAUAUUACCGAAGCUGUGGAUUGUCCUUUGGACAAUGGUAGGAGAGCGUUCUAAGGGCGUUGAAGCAUGAUCGUAAGGACAUGUGGAGCGCUUAGAAGUGAGAAUGCCGGUGUGAGUAGCGAAAGACGGGUGAGAAUCCCGUCCACCGAUUGACUAAGGUUUCCAGAGGAAGGCUCGUCCGCUCUGGGUUAGUCGGGUCCUAAGCUGAGGCCGACAGGCGUAGGCGAUGGAUAACAGGUUGAUAUUCCUGUACCACCUAUAAUCGUUUUAAUCGAUGGGGGGACGCAGUAGGAUAGGCGAAGCGUGCGAUUGGAUUGCACGUCUAAGCAGUAAGGCUGAGUAUUAGGCAAAUCCGGUACUCGUUAAGGCUGAGCUGUGAUGGGGAGAAGACAUUGAGUCUUCGAGUCGUUGAUUUCACACUGCCGAGAAAAGCCUCUAGAUAGAAAAUAGGUGCCCGUACCGCAAACCGACACAGGUAGUCAAGAUGAGAAUUCUAAGGUGAGCGAGCGAACUCUCGUUAAGGAACUCGGCAAAAUGACCCCGUAACUUCGGGAGAAGGGGUGCUCUUUAGGGUUAACGCCCAGAAGAGCCGCAGUGAAUAGGCCCAAGCGACUGUUUAUCAAAAACACAGGUCUCUGCUAAACCGUAAGGUGAUGUAUAGGGGCUGACGCCUGCCCGGUGCUGGAAGGUUAAGAGGAGUGGUUAGCUUCUGCGAAGCUACGAAUCGAAGCCCCAGUAAACGGCGGCCGUAACUAUAACGGUCCUAAGGUAGCGAAAUUCCUUGUCGGGUAAGUUCCGACCCGCACGAAAGGCGUAACGAUUUGGGCACUGUCUCAACGAGAGACUCGGUGAAAUCAUAGUACCUGUGAAGAUGCAGGUUACCCGCGACAGGACGGAAAGACCCCGUGGAGCUUUACUGUAGCCUGAUAUUGAAAUUCGGCACAGCUUGUACAGGAUAGGUAGGAGCCUUUGAAACGUGAGCGCUAGCUUACGUGGAGGCGCUGGUGGGAUACUACCCUAGCUGUGUUGGCUUUCUAACCCGCACCACUUAUCGUGGUGGGAGACAGUGUCAGGCGGGCAGUUUGACUGGGGCGGUCGCCUCCUAAAAGGUAACGGAGGCGCUCAAAGGUUCCCUCAGAAUGGUUGGAAAUCAUUCAUAGAGUGUAAAGGCAUAAGGGAGCUUGACUGCGAGACCUACAAGUCGAGCAGGGUCGAAAGACGGACUUAGUGAUCCGGUGGUUCCGCAUGGAAGGGCCAUCGCUCAACGGAUAAAAGCUACCCCGGGGAUAACAGGCUUAUCUCCCCCAAGAGUUCACAUCGACGGGGAGGUUUGGCACCUCGAUGUCGGCUCAUCGCAUCCUGGGGCUGUAGUCGGUCCCAAGGGUUGGGCUGUUCGCCCAUUAAAGCGGUACGCGAGCUGGGUUCAGAACGUCGUGAGACAGUUCGGUCCCUAUCCGUCGUGGGCGUAGGAAAUUUGAGAGGAGCUGUCCUUAGUACGAGAGGACCGGGAUGGACAUACCUCUGGUGUACCAGUUGUCGUGCCAACGGCAUAGCUGGGUAGCUAUGUGUGGACGGGAUAAGUGCUGAAAGCAUCUAAGCAUGAAGCCCCCCUCAAGAUGAGAUUUCCCAACUUCGGUUAUAAGAUCCCUCAAAGAUGAUGAGGUUAAUAGGUUCGAGGUGGAAGCAUGGUGACAUGUGGAGCUGACGAAUACUAAUCGAUCGAAGACUUAAUCAA
rnacentral:rRNA from 1 species